rnacentral:rRNA from 1 species
UUUAGAGGAAGUAAAAKUCGUAACAAGGUUUCSGUAGGUGAMCCUGCGGAAGGAUCAUUAAAGAACAAGAAAAGACUGCUGCUGGCAAGGAAGUCCCCCCYUUCAAAGGGGGCUUUCUGCAUGUGCACGUCUCUCUAUACACAUACACACACASUUGUGCACCUACCGUAGGCCGCGAGGUCUAUGAUUUCACACUACACCAAUUGCAUGUCCAUAGAAUGUAAACAAAUAUACAACUUUCAGCAACGGAUCUCUUGGCUCUCGCAUCGAUGAAGAACGCAGCGAAUUGCGAUAAGUAAUGUGAAUUGCAGAUUUCCAGUGAAUCAUCGAAUCUUUGAMACGCACCUUGCGCUCCUUGGUAUUCCGAGGAGCAUGCCUGUUUGAGUGUCAUUUUCAUUAUCAACCAUGUCUCGAUUCACUUCGAGCGGCUUGGCUUGGAUGUGGGGGUUGCUGGCUUUGAAAGAGGUCGGCUCUCCUGAAAUACAUUAGCGACAAUGAGUAGGCAUGCAGUGCUGGCCUUUUUCGACGUGAUAAUGAUCGUCGUGGGCUGGAGUGUCUACAGGUGGAUUGUUGCUUCCAAUCACAAACUUUGCAUGCCGCUAGCUAGUUACUAGGUCACUGACCGAACGCAGCUUCAAGUGACACACCAAAGUCCACCCCAAGCUUGACCUCAAAUCAGGUAGGACUACCCGCUGAACUUAAGCAUAUCAAUAAGCGGAGGAAAAGAAACUAACAAGGAUUCCCCUAGUAACUGCGAGUGAAG